rnacentral:rRNA from 1 species
GGGUCAGUAGGCUGGUCGUGCCACCGGUACGUACUGGUCUCACUGAUUCCUCCUUCCUGAAGAACUGUAAUGCCAUUAAUUUGGUGUUGCGGGGAAACAGGACUGUUGCUUUGAAAAAAUUAGAGUGUUUAAAGCAAGCUAACGCUUGAAUACAUUGGCAUGGAAUAAUGAAAUAGGACGAUCGAUCCUAUUUUGUUGGUUUCUAGGAUUGACGUA